rnacentral:tRNA from 1 species
AUCUUUUUUUUUCUGAGAAAGAGGAGUUUUGGGGUCCUUAGAGACUGCAUGCAGGAGAUU